AUUCUUUUCAUUAACUAAGUGUCCCAGUAAGGGACCAGCUUUUCCUCUCUUCAUUUAUCCCCCCUUUCCCCCAUCAUCUUUGAGAGUGCGUAUGCUUGUUUACGUUGGUGGGUGUGGGUGGGCGGAGGCUUGAGAUAAUAUGAAGAAGUGUUUGGUUGCAUAGGAUCAAGCUGCUUUAUAUUUUUUGCCUGGCUUUGUGAGGCUAUAUUUCGUAUUCACAUAUGAUAAUUGAUUUCUUCAGAUAGAUCUACUUCGAAGCCUGGCAAUAUUUUGAGUUUGGAAAUGUUUGUAGAGUCAAAUAAGUAAUGCAAGAAGAAAGCAGGCAUAGCAUGAUGGAUCUCCAUAAUUGGGGGUGGGGGUAGAUAGAGGCUAGAGAGGUGUUGGGGGCAGGUACAGUUGGAAUGAUAUGAUGAAGUGUUUGGUAGCAUAGGAUCAAGCUGCUUUAUAUUUUCUGCCCGUCUUUGUGAGGGUAUAUUUCAUAUUCACAUAUGAGGAUUAAUUUUUUCAGAUUAAAUCUACUUUGAAAUGUUGUGAAAGUUUGGGUUUGGAAAUGUUUGUAUAGUCCAAUAGGUAAUGCUAGAAGAAAGUACAAUUAUUUGUUCAUUUUGUCUGAUGAAUAUACUAAUUUGUUAACAUACUUAUUGUAAUCUGAGAAGGGGACUGUGGUAUCUGGCACAAUUUGACUGCACAAUGACAGUAAUGGGUGGAGGCAAGAGGAGGCAUCAUAGUCGAGUAUGAUUUAAGCCUUGAGGGUUCUGGAGAUUGAGACUGGUAUGUAGAAAAAAUUAACCAGAGUAUUUAAACAGGAGUAGCCAGCAGUGAGUGGGCUGGUGGGUGGAAAAGGAUGCCAGAAAUAAUCUGGCACCCCAAUUCUGAUACGAAGGUUGAUGCCUUCGGGGAGAUGGAAGAUUCCGUAUCGGCCCUUUGAUAGAGAAAGACUCUUGUGCCUGCGGAAGAUCAUUGG